rnacentral:lncRNA from 1 species
UCAAAAGUGGUCAAGAGGUCCAGUUGCAUGUCUGACCCUACCCCAACGCUGCACUAUGACAGGAAAGCUCCAAAAAGCUGCUUCCUAGGAUUAAGAGUAGGUUUAGAAUCAUCCAGUCAGUUCACAAUAGCACAAAACCUCUAACCUGGAUCCAAGUAAUCCUGGUUUGCUGGUGCCCUAAGGUACCUAAAAAUACAUCAAGAUUGCUCAGCCUCUAAUCACUUAAUAAAUAGUGCUCCAAAGUCCAUCUCUAACUCACAAACAUGAGCAGACAAAAUACUGUCAGAAGCAUGAAGAGCUAGGAUUCAGAGGAAGUCCAGAUACUAGAAUUAGGAAACUAUAACAUAACUAUAUUAACUAUGUUUGUAAACAGGACCUCAUUAUGUAGCCCAAACUGAUCUCAAAUUCACAAUCAAGUUUCAUUCUCCUGAGUGUGGGAGGCAAUGAGUGCAUCUUUACCACCACACCUGACUUACACUUAAUAUGAUCUUGGUAAUGAACGCCGCACUGGAAAACUUGAGGAAACAGAAAUCCAUAAAAAAAGAAAAAGAAAAAACUGAAAAAUAAAAAAGCUAUCAAGUGUGUUCUUUAUCUCAAUUAAAAACAAAUUAAAGAGCCAAGUGUGGUGGCUCACACCUUUAGUCCCAACGCUCAGGAGAUAAAGGCAGGCAGAUCUCUGAGUCCAAGGCCAGCUUGGUCUACAAAAUGAGUUCCCAGGUAGCCAGAGCUACAGGAGAAAACAAAAAAGCAGAGUAAAGAAUUAGUUACAGAAAGAUUGGUCAAAAUAAACUACCAAAAUUACAAGCUAGAAAAGGUGAUAGAAUACAAUAAAUCCAAGACAGAAAAUGCUGCAAAGCAGUAUGUAAAAAGAACAAAUAAAAGACCCCAAGCCACAGAUUCAAGAUGGUGAAUACAUGGAGUGAAUACAUGUAUGUACAAGGAUGAGCAGAUGAAGAGCCUAGAUUAAAACAUUUAAAGGCAUGUUAAAGUCUAUCAAUCCCACCACCUAUGCACUAUCUAGCAAAAUAACAGUAACAAAAUGUUAGGGAGUCAAUGUCUUACAUUUUUAUUAUGUUUUAUGUGUAUAGAUGUUUGGUCUGCAUCCAUGUCUAUGCACCACAUGCACUCAGUCAGUGUCUUCAAGAGGCCAGAUGACGGCAUGAGAUCCCCUGGAGCUGGAGUUCUAGUCACUUGUAAGCUGCCAGGUGAAUGCUGGGAACUGGAGCCCUAGUCCUCUGG